rnacentral:rRNA from 1 species
UACGAAGGGGGCUAGCGUUGUUCGGAAUUACUGGGCGUAAAGCGCGCGCAGGCGGUCUUCCAAGUCAGUGGUGAAAGCCCGGAGCUCAACUCCGGAACUGCCAUUGAAACUGUGAGACUGGAGUACGAGAGAGGUGAGUGGAAUUCCCAGUGUAGAGGUGAAAUUCGUAGAUAUUGGGAAGAACACCGGUGGCGAAGGCGGCUCACUGGCUCGUUUCUGACGCUCAGGCGCGACAGCGUGGGGAGCAAACAGG